rnacentral:rRNA from 1 species
UACGGAAGGGGCUAGCGUUGUUCGGAAUUACUGGGCGUAAAGAGCGCGUAGGCGGCUUACCAAGUUGGGGGUGUAAUCCAGGAGCUCAACUCCGGAACUGCCUUCAAAACUGGUAGGCUCGAGUCCGGAAGAGGGGCGUGGAAAUCCCAGUGUAGAGGUGAAAUUCGUAGAUAUUGGGAAGAACACCGGUGGCGAAGGCGGCGCCCUGGUCCGGUACUGACGCUGAGGCGCGAAAGCGUGGGGAGCAAACAGG